UUUCAGCAUGGUUUCAUUAAUCAUCUACCCCAUAAUAAUUAAACCAUUCUAUUAUUUAGUAAUGUUGAAUGAACAACCUAAUUUCAUUAAGUACCGAGAGGGAAUAAAUCAGUAUCAUUAUAGUAGAGAUAAAGUCUCGUACCUUUUGCAUCAUGGGAAGACAAGAAUUUUUUUCAAAUUAAAUCACCCGAACUUUAAGUGAGCUACUCUGUAGAAAUAAACCUAAUGUUGCAAAAUUAUUGUUAACUACAUAAUAGAUGCUAAAUACUUACCGCACUAAAAGAUAGCUGGUUACUCAGAAAAGAUAUAAAAGUAUCUUCUUUCAUUAAAGAAAGAGACAAUAAUAGAAGGAUAAGCUUCUGUUAUUAUAAUGGCUUAAGACUACUAACUUUUUAGAAGUAGGAAUAAAAUUUUCCAUCACCAAUUUUGUUAUAAAAUAUAAAGCACUACUUAGAAAAUAAAUUUACUAAAAGCCUUAUUUGUUACUGAGUUAUAUAGACCAACCAAUCACCCACCUAUAAAACUGAUGUUUUCACAAGUAUUUUUAUACCUAACCAUUUUCCCCUAAAAUAAAAAUUUACACAAAUUUACAUUAGUAAAAUAUAUAUAAGGAACUCGGCAAAUUUACUACUCCGCCUGUUUAUCAAAAACAUGUCUCUUAGAAAACAUUAAGAGUCAGGCCUGCCCAGUGAUCACUUUAACGGCCGCGGUACCCUGACCGUGCAAAGGUAGCAUAAUCAUUUGCCUUUUAAUUGGAGGCUAGUAUGAAUGGUCUGACGAGAGUAAAACUGUCUCAUAUAUAUUCAAUAGAAAUUAACUUAAAGGUGCAAAGGCCUUUAUAAUCUAAAAAGACGAGAAGACCCUGUUGAGCUUUAAUCUUAAUAAGCAUUUCUUCUAUAUUCAUAAAUUCAUUUUGCUUACUAAAGAUUUUAAUUGGGGCGAUUAAGGAACACUCACCAGCUUCCUGAAUUCAAUUAAAAAUGUUCAUAGACUAAAUCGAUCCAGCAAUGUUGAUCAGCAAAGCGAGUUACCACAGGGAUAACAGCAUAAUUCUCCUUGAGAGCCCAUAUCGAAAGAAGAGAUUGUGACCUCGAUGUUGGACUAGGGUAACCAGAAGGUGCAGCCGCUUUCUUGUUUGGUCUGUUCGACCAAUAAUUCCCUACAUGAUCUGAGUUCAGACCGGCGUAAGCCAGGUCAGUUUCUAUCUUUUAAAUCAAUAUAAAUUUAGGCUAGUACGAAAGGACCGCUUAAAAUAAAUAUUUUAUCAUUUGGUGAACAAUAAUCUAACUUAGUUUUUAUGAGGUUGGCAGAGAGUAAUGCAGUUGACUUAGGAUCAACAGAC
rnacentral:rRNA from 1 species